rnacentral:rRNA from 1 species
GACGAACGCUGGCGGCGUGCCUAAUACAUGCAAGUAGAACGCUGAAGAGAGGAGCUUGCUCUUCUUGGAUGAGUUGCGAACGGGUGAGUAACGCGUAGGUAACCUGCCUGAUAGCGGGGGAUAACUAUUGGAAACGAUAGCUAAUACCGCAUAAAAUGGAUUAUCGCAUGAUAAUCCAUUGAAAGGUGCAAAUGCAUCACUACCAGAUGGACCUGCGUUGUAUUAGCUAGUUGGUGGGGUAACGGCUCACCAAGGCGACGAUACAUAGCUGACCUGAGAGGGUGAUCGGCCACACUGGGACUGAGACACGGCCCAGACGCCUACGGGAGGCAGCAGUAGGGAAUCUUCGGCAAUGGACGGAAGUCUGACCGAGCAACGCCGCGUGAGUGAAGAAGGUUUUCGGAUCGUAAAGCUCUGUUGUAAGAGAAGAACGAGUGUGAGAGUGGAAAGUUCACACUGUGACGGUAUCUUACCAGAAAGGGACGGCUAACUACGUG